AGAGUUUGAUCAUGGCUCAGAGUGAACGCUGGCGGCAGGCCUAACACAUGCAAGUCGAACGGCAGCGGGUCAGUAGCGAUACUGAUGCCGGCGAGUGGCGGACGGGUGAGGAAUACAUCGGAAUCUACCUUGUCGUGGGGGAUAACGUAGGGAAACUUACGCUAAUACCGCAUACGAACUACGGUUGAAAGCGGCGGACUCGCAAGAGCGUCGCGCGAUUGGAUGAGCCGAUGUCCGAUUAGCUAGUUGGCGGGGUAAAGGCCCACCAAGGCGACGAUCGGUAGCUGGUCUGAGAGGAUGAUCAGCCACACUGGAACUGAGACACGGUCCAGACUCCUACGGGAGGCAGCAGUGGGGAAUAUUGGACAAUGGGCGCAAGCCUGAUCCAGCCAUGCCGCGUGUGUGAAGAAGGCCUUCGGGUUGUAAAGCACUUUUGUUGGGGAAGAAAAGACACCGGUUAAUACCCGGGGUUUCUGACGGUACCCAAAGAAUAAGCACCGGCUAACUUCGUGCCAGCAGCCGCGGUA
rnacentral:rRNA from 1 species